rnacentral:rRNA from 1 species
CAGUAGCCGCGGUAAUACGUAGGUGGCAAGCGUUGUCCGGAAUUAUUGGGCGUAAAGGGCUCGCAGGCGGUUUCUUAAGUCCGAUGCGAAAGCCCCCGGCUCAACCGGGGAGGUUCAUUGGAAACUGGGAAACUUGAGUGCAGAAGAGGAGAGUGGAAUUCCACGUGUAGCGGUGGAAUGCGUAGAGAUGUGGAGGAACACCAGUGGCGAAGGCGACUCUCUGGUCUGUAACUGACGCUGAGGAGCGAAAGCGUGGGGAGCGAACAGGAUUAGAUACCCCUGUAGUCCCUGUCUCUUAUAC